AACAACUAACUAAUCAAAUGGACUCUCCUAGACACGUUAUUACAAUUGAACCCCAAAACAAAAAACCCUUACAAUGAACCAAAAAUCCCUUACCAAUCAGUCCCAUUUCACUACUACUUAUUUAUUUCUUCUACUGAGCGAUCCCUCCUUACAGUUCACAACAAUGCUCUCCCCUUCGAACAACCGUGUCCUCAAGAGGUCACCACAACGUUACUGGAUGAUGAAGACUCUAAUGAGAUUGGAGUUCUUGGAGAGGCAUUGGACUAGAAUUGAGGUAUACAAUCCCGGCUUCAAGACACUUCCGCAGAGGCAUAUUUGAGUCCUCUUGGUGUAGGACUUAUUAUUUUAUUCAUUCAAUUUUUAUAUAAAUUCUUUUAGUAUUUUAGAUUAGAUGUGUCUUUGAACACGUUAUUGAAAUGCAUAUUCAUUAUAUUUUAAAUUUAUAAGUCUUAUUUAUUUCUUGUUCUCAGCAUUUGCAUUCAAUAAAUGACUUUCAUCACCCUGGGAUGUCGGCUGGCAUGUACCUACACUGGUAUUCGGGAAAUAUCAGGAUCGGGGCAUGUUAGAUUGGUAUCAGAGCUUGGUUUGUUUAGAGCAUACUUAGGAUCUUCUCUUACUAUAGUAGUGUGUCAGUCAUGACAUCAUUUGGGUGUCACAACUUUCGGAAUUGUUGUCUUUUGGCACGGUUGUGCAAUCUUCAUCAUGCUAUGAAUUGUCACAUCCUAUUGAAGGAGACGAACUCGUGUCCGGAUUGUGCCUCAUCAGUGACAUGUUUGAUUUGUUGAACGACUUUCAAUAUAAGACGAUACCCUACGACGUGCAUUCCCUGGGGAAUGGCGGGCAUAGUCGGUGUUACUUGGAAGAGACGUGUUUUAGAAAUCUUAGUGUGAGGAAGUUUGGUCAAGACUAUCUGUAGAUCUGAAAUGGCGAUGCCACUCUGCAACACGCGUUUCCUAGGAAUUGCGGGCGGAGUAGGCUCUACAACAAAAUCUUGGGAAACGGAAGAAUCUUGGCGGUACGAGUUGGUUAAGAUCAACUAGAAACUUGAAACAGUGAUAUCACUCUGCGACAUGCGUUCCCUAGGAAUGGCGGGCAUAGUCAUAUCUUAGUGACCAGGUGGGCACCGUGGAUCCAAAUGUCUAUGGCAGGCUCCAAACCAUAUAUCAUAGCCUCCUAGCUGCUUAUACCAUUUGAUUUUCCCAGUGUCCAAAUCAAGAGCUACCAUGGAUUCGGAGUGGUUUUCGGGCUCAAUGCAGGCCUCUGGAUGAGAAGGUACUAUCUGAUUGUUUUCCUUCUCCUGGCAUUCAAUUAUCCGCGGAGGAGCUGAGUACAGGUUCGAUGUGGCAACGAAGACAAGGUUCCGAGGGACAUCAAUGGAAGGGCUGCUUCCCCAUAUUGCUGCUCCUGCAUACUCAUUAAACUUGCCGAAAUUGUCAGGCAACAUGAAGGUCUGCCACAGGAUUUUGCCCGUUCGGACGUCUAAUUUCGAUACGCUCCCACGAAACGUACAGCAUUGUUCGAUGGUGAGUCCUUCUAGUGACAAUGUUCCAACAUAGUAACCACUACAAGAAAUUGAAAUGUAGUGCCAUAAAAUUACAUUAAUACAACUCUUUGUGAUUUAAAGAUUGAUUAAUUACAAUGCAGAUUACAUUUUUUCUAGCAGAGUACAUGUGAUGAGAAUUAAAAUUACAAAAAAUUAGGAGAAGUGCUAUCCACAUACAUUUUUUUACUUUCCAUACAUUCUCAAUUUUCAGAUGUCGGAUUGAAUAAAAUAAAAAAUUUAAAAUAACAAAGAGUAUGUGAGAAAUAAAAAAUAAAAAAUAUGCGGAUAGCACCACAGAAAUUAAAUGUUUUCUUGAUAGGAUUAAAACAUUGUCAUAAACCUUAAAAAAAAAAAAAAAAAAAAAAAAAUUCUCGGAAGUCAAGUUGCCAACAAGUCUUAACAUAUUUGUAUUGUUGAUUAACAUAUGCAGAAACUACAGUGUGAAUAAAAAAAAGACUUUGGAUUAUUAGAAAUUGGCAUAUUACUUAAAGAGUAAUGCUAGGGAAACUAAAUUUACAAACUAAAUGAUGUGUCAUCAAUAAGAAUAAACACGUUUAUAAACGUGUAAGUAAUAAACCAAUCAUUAACUUCCAUAUCUUUUAAUUUUCAAAAAUUUAUCUAUAAAUUUGAUCUUCUUAGUAUUACUCUUACUUAAAGGCAUAAAAAAUUGUUAUACUUCUAUCCUAGCAGAACAAAAAUAGCCAAGAAGCACGUGGUGUUGCUUAUCUUGUUGCUAACUUCUUGUUUCCAAGUAACACCAUUGACUGACUCAUAAGUUAUUAAUAUUAUAAUGAGUAUGAGGGAGACUCCAUGCGAGCUAGGUUUACGACUCUGUAUUCAGGAUAAGGAAGUACUUCUGUUCAUAAGUAUUUUCGUUGGCGAUGCUUUUGUUAGAAACACACACAGAGUCGUUCCAGGGGGAGACUGAACCAAAAUUCAUCCAAAAUUCGUCCUGUGAGACAACUUGUUCCACCCGUUUUAGGCGCACCAAACGUGAGACGGAACAUCUCGUCCCACUUCAUUUCGUCCCGUCCCACGUACCAAAUGGUACCUAACAUAACUCUGUUAACUUUUAAUAAUUUUAAAAAAUAAAUAAUAAAAAGUAAAUUAAAACCAGGCGUAGAGUCCCCUGAGUUCUUGCAAACCACAAAACAAUUGACCUCAAAUCCUAAUGAAAGAUCAAAUUCCAAAUUUCCAUCCCAAUUUUCCCUAGGAACAAACUGAAAAUUCUCUUUCCGGGAAGUCAAAGAAGCGGAAAAGAAAAGCAUCGCCGCUUCGUCGGCAGUGGGUGAGGUUGAUAGGACCCAGACCUGCAAUGACAGCUAUGGCGAUGGAACGUAAGGAAAAGGGUCGGGAGGGAAGGAAGAAUAUUCUAUUGAUUAAUUCAACAAUGCCCAUACAAUUUUCCUUGGCCACCAUACAUGUGUGCCAGCUGGAAACAACUAACUAAUCAAAUGGACUCUCCUAGACACUUACGUUAUUACAAUUGAACCCCAAAACAAAAAACCCUUACAAUGAACCAAAAAUCCCUUACCAAUCAGUCCCAUUUCACUACUACUUAUUUAUUUCUUCUACUGAGCGAUCCCUCCUUACGGUUCACAACAAUGCUCUCCCCUUCGAACAACCGUGUCCUCAAGAGGUCACCACAACGAUACUGGAUGAUGAAGACUCUAAUGACAUUGGAGUUCUUGGAGAGGCAUUGGUAUCUUCAACCUUCACAGCUAGUACAUCGAUUUUAAUUGUGCAAAAAAGUGAAUUUGCUCAUGAUUCAUGAUUGAGGGAGUGAAUGGGACUAUGUCGUGGGAGCAGAGCUCAGUUGAAGUACAAAAACCCACGAUACAUAGCACAACUCCCUCUCUCUCUCCCCCCUUUGAAUUGCUUUUUCCUUGUUCCUCAGAAACCUAAAAAUUGUAGAUCUGUUUGUUAUUUGGAUUGUGAUAUAUACCCAGUGAGCUUACAUGAUAAAUUUGAUUCAACAAUUAAACAACUGUGAAUAACGAAUGCAAAAUAAACAGACC